rnacentral:pre_miRNA from 1 species
AAUAACUCUAUCUUUUAGUUUUUUAAUACAAUGUUUUGACUCUUCAUUUUAUUUAAAUUUUUUUGCAAUUAAUAUUUUUAUUGAUACUAGAUGAUAAUACUAUUUUAUGCGUAACUAUUUUUUUUAAGUUUUUGUAUAAAAUUUUUAAAUAAGACGAAUGGUCAAACGUUGGACAUAGAAAA